rnacentral:lncRNA from 1 species
GGUCAAGGUUGCUUUCCUCAGUAGCUGGAGUGGCAGAUAAAUCACCAAAGACGAUUCACAAUCUUUGACAGCUGUGAAGACAAGAAGCAUGCCUGCAUGAAGUCUCUACAGAACACGGCCCACUGCUGUGUCCAUUUCUAGAGAUUCCUCCUCGAUUCACAUUCUUCUGAAUAAGUCCUCUGUCGAGGGGUGAAGGCCUGACUCAGAGGAACUCACAGAAUGGUGUUCAGGCAGCCUUCUCAAGAACUGUCUUGCACAAAAGAUGUGGAAGCAAUUCAGUGUGUCCAAAACAACUGAUGAUGUGGCAGGAUUAGAACCUGAUCCAGGCUACGGUGGGGUAGCUGGCUCAUCUCAGUGGGAGAGCUGGAAUGGAGUGUUAAAUUGCUGCGAGAAGAAACUGUUCCAAAGCCACGCGGAUUCUUCACAGUGCUUCCUACGCCAAACAUCCUCACUCCCACAGGGAAGAAAAGCAGCGUGGAAAGGUGGCAGUGCUCGUAAUCUGUGCGACUGGCACAGGAGGAGCAGCCUGUGAGCAGCCUCUGGCUCCACCGACUGGCAUGUGGUUCCCUGGGGUAGUGAGGCUGUGAGGGGGCCCCAGCUGAUAUGGGGCCGGGGCUUUCCCCCUGCUCAUCUCCAGCACAGGGGCCCAGCACUCACAGCCAGUGCUGAAAGCACAAGGGAGGGCUGCCACUGGCAGCUUUUGUGCUGGUCUCGGCGUUGAGGCCCACUGGAGAUCUGGCAUCUGAGGAGCAGAGAGCAAGAGCCUCCAGGAGCCAGCAGCACCAGCAGGAAUGGGAGGCAAGCAAAAGCCAUGAGUGGUUGGUGUUCCCAUUUAGCACUGCCCUAUUAAGCAGUGUUCUUUGCUAGAAAUAACACCAACCUCAAGCAUCUUCCUCUGGGAGGCAUUCCAGUUAGGAACUUUUUCCAUUUAACCGAGAAAUGCAGGGUGUUAAAAAGUGUUCAGUCUGGACUACAGUCAAAUAGGAAAAUAAAUAAAUAAAUAAAUAAUGUGUAAUUUAAGCU